UACGUAGGGUGCAAGCGUUAUCCGGAAUUACUGGGCGUAAAGCGUGCGCAGGCGGUUGUGCAAGACCGAUGUGAAAUCCCCGGGCUUAACCUGGGGAAUGGCAUUGGUGACUGCACGGCUAGAGUGUGUCAGAGGGGGGUAGAAUUCCACGUGUAGCAGUGAAAUGCGUAGAGAUGUGGAGGAAUACCGAUGGCGAAGGCAGCCCCCUGGGAUAACACUGACGCUCAUGCACGAAAGCGUGGGGAGCAAACAGG
rnacentral:rRNA from 1 species